GUAGUAAGCUUUGGUAACACAUAUACUAAAAUUGGAACGAUACAAAGAAUAUUAGCAUGGCCCCUGUGCAAAGAUGACAUGCUUCCUUCGUAAAUCUAACAUGCACCU